CAUUUCUAUAUUUCUAUAUUUUUAAACGUUAUACAGGAUACGUCAUCCAUGCGUAGCCACAGAACGCCCAUCUCCGAAAUAACACUUCCGCGUGGGAUGGUCUUGUGUUUGCUCUCGUAUCGGGAUUGCCACUUCCCUCAUCUGUCCUCGGUCUUGCCUCCUCCGGUUGCAAUUACAUGAAUGAGAUGUCCUCGUGCCCUCAACUGUGAGCGUUUUCCGGUGAACAAGGAUCGAGGGAGGAAGGAAGGACCGAUAAAUCGUUACAUGAAAGGCACCCCAUAUCUUUUACUGUCUAUGCAGGAGACCUAUGACGGAAAUAGAAGACCAACAAAAAAAAAAAAAACGUUGACAUUUGCUUCCUCGGCCUCUGCUGAUGUCUACGUGAUAGCUCUGUCCAUAUUUCUCAUUAGUUUCAGACCGACGCCAUAUUGCAGGGGUGGGCAUCUAAUUUACCCAAGGGGCCACAUGAGAAACUGGGACUGUUGAGGAGGGCCGGACCCAAAGCGCCAAACUCAAGUCUAACACAGACAGAUGUUACAAGCUAAAGAAAGAUACAGAAAGAAAAACAUGAGUAAAAGGAAAAGGAGAGGGGUUAUCACUAGCAAGACGGAGGAUGAGGAGGAGGAAGAUCAAGCAGGACCUCAGAAAAAACAGAAACUCCAGGGAUCCAUGACUUAUUGGAAGAAGAAGAGGGCUGGAGCCUCCAAAGUGGGUGUGUCUUCAUCUGCCACUGACAGGUGGACACCUGAACAGGUAGAGGUCCAUGAGAAAUUCCGAUCCACACUGAAGAGCAAGUUUCAGCAUCUGGUUGAGGGAGUACCUAAUCAGGGAGAAACCCGACUCCUCCAUGAGAUCUACACAGACCUCUACA